rnacentral:rRNA from 1 species
UACAGAGGUCUCAAGCGUUGUUCGGAUUCAUUGGGCGUAAAGGGUGCGUAGGCGGCGCGGUAAGUCGGGGUGUGAAAUCUCGGAGCUUAACUCCGAAACUGCAUUCGAUACUGCGUGCUUGAGGACUGGAGAGGAGACUGGAAUUCAUGGUGUAGCAGUGAAAUGCGUAGAGAUCAUGAGGAAGACCAGUGGCGAAGGCGGGUCUCUGGACAGUUCCUGACACUGAGACACGAAGGCCAGGGGAGCAAACGGG